UUCCUACGGGGGGCAGCAGUGGGGAAUAUUGCACAAUGGGGGAAACCCUGAUGCAGCGACGCCGCGUGAGUGAAGAAGUAAUUCGUUAUGUAAAGCUCUAUCGGCAGGGAAGAAAGAAAUGACGGUACCUGACUAAGAAGCCCCGGCUAACUACGUGCCAGCAGCCGCGGUAAUACGUAGGGGGCAAGCGUUAUCCGGAUUUACUGGGUGUAAAGGGAGCGUAGACGGCAGUGCAAGUCUGAAGUGAAAGGCGGGGGCCCAACCCCCGGACUGCUUUGGAAACUGUGCUGCUG
rnacentral:rRNA from 1 species